UGUUUCUUUGCGAGUCAACCCGUUAACAUCUGGUGGUUUCUGACUGUGGUGCUGAAACCUCCUCUGGGUGACCUUGCUCUGGCAGGGGGUUGGUGGUGCUGAAGGUGCAACCUGCUCUGGGUGACCCUGCUCUGGCAGGGGGUUGGAGGAGAUGAUCUCCAGAGGUUCCUUCCAACCCCAUAGCAUUCUGUGAGUCUGUAAUAAACUGCGUAGUGUUCUGAAGUGGAGCCCAGCAAAAAUGGAGGCAGCAGAAGCAACACCUUGGGGAGAAUCAUGUCGCUGAUGGCAGGAAAGGGAGGGUUUGUUCCCAGAGCUACGUGGCUUCGCUGAGCCUGACCUGUUCUGAGGUGACAACUUGGAGCAGAAGAGAUGCCCCGGGUGACAUCCCUCGUUUAUAACAUCCCCUUUUGUCGGAGGGGAUUUAACGUGGUCUCCUGUUUCGAAUUUAUCUCUUUGAUUAGCGGUGAAGUUUUGAUGUCUGCAGGAGGAGAACAAUGGCAUCAGUGUGCACUGUCAGGCGGGACCGGUGGCUGCUGGGGAGUUGCUAGGAUACCUCUCCAAAAGGUGGUUAAUUAACUGCAGAGCUGCAGCGAGCCCAGCUCUAACGUUGCAGAUGACUGGGGAUUGAUGCCCAGUGCACUUGCAGCCCCUCAACAAAAUCUUGGAUUGUGCUCAUUGUCUUCUUCCGUUGGCUUGAAAGGUACCUACAGCAGGAGCCAGCUGAUGGCACAGGCACAACUGGAGGGCUGGGUUGAAGAAAGAUGAAGAGAAGCUCAGAUGAGGGUGGAAAACCCAUCCUUUGAUGGCUCACAAAGGAUUUUAAGGGCUCACAGGGCAGCAGCAGUAGCUGGAAGGCAGCCCAGCAGAAGUCCUUGGGUGGGUAACCCUGUGAAUCUCUCCAAUCCAUCACUUACCUCUUCUUCCAUCCCUGCCACAGCAGAUUGAACUCCCGGAUGGACCUGAUAUUCAGGAAACUCAGUAUAAACAUAUCUUGUGUUACAAUGUUACAAUUGUGUUCUACAAUGUUAUAAUUUAUUGGGUUUUUUCUAGUUAGAUCAGCACAAUUAGGUCAGAAGAAAUUUCAGUUCUCCCAAACUUCUAGUGUAUUUGGGUAGUCCUCUAUGGCAGGCAUGUUUACAUCUCUGUGAUCCUAAACCUCAGGGAAUUGCAUUUCGUUUCAAGGCUGCUGAGUCUCUGCAAAUCCCAUGAGAUUUUUAGCUUUGAUUUUCAAAACCCAGGGUGGUUUUUUCCUACAGUUGUGGAGAAAACCUUGAAAGUCAGAAGUGAGAGGCCUCAAAGAAAAAGGGAAGUACAUUUAAGGAAUAAAACUACAUGAUAAAAUAAUCGUAUUUCA
rnacentral:lncRNA from 1 species